CUCAAAUAAAUACACAUUUGAUUCGAAUGACGCUACUGCGGGACAUUAUAAAUACGGAGACGAUCGCAUGGUUACUUCAUAAUAACCUAUUCAGUGAAACGAACUCCACGCGUUGUUUAAACAGUGACAGACGUUUGAAUAUAGUGAGUGAAAAUGUACACAAAUCCCUUCAGUCGUACACACAGCAGCAUCCGCCAUGCAAUUGAUAAAUUUUUGCACAUGGAUAACAAGAAGUCAUCAAAAAGAGGUGGACUGUCCAGAAAUUCGUCGAAUUCCUCAGUCUCAUCCUUCAAAUCGAAUUGUUCGAGUUGUAAAUCGCAUAAAUCAUUGGGAAAAAGUAUACUGAAGUGAUCUUUGGAUUAACAAUUGAAUCUAGAAUCAAGACUGAAUGUAGACCAUAAAGUUUUUAAUCAAAAGGAUCUUGUGGAUGCAGUGGAUGUGAUAUUCUCAAAUAUGCUUAAUAAUUUAGUUAUAAUAAUUUAUUAACUUAAUUUAUUGUUUUAAAUAAAUUGUCAUACUAUAAACUUGAA